UUGCUACGCCUGGCAUCCUGUAAUUUGUCAGCCUGAAUAACAUCAUGCAUUUCCUCCAACAAUUUUUGAAGGGCGUCAGGUGUGCUAAGCCCUCUGAUAUCCAUUUCAUGUAUUGGAUGUCUGAAAGAUACCAACAUAAUCGAACACAGCGGUGAUUAAAGGUGCUUUUCUCCAAGUUUCGGCAAAUCGAGCUCGACUCACCAUUGUGUAGCUUGUAAUAAAAAUUAUUCAAGUGUUUGGUGCUGUUGAGCCAUCACGUCUGGCUUCUAGCAGGACAUUACGAGGAUUAUGACCUUGUAGCGGUUCACAAUUAAUUUGCACAUAAAUUCCAAAGGCGGCAAUAACGAGAGGCCAUACAAUGUUUAUUGUGGGUGUAGCAGACGACUCAAAGCUACUGACUUCACCUAGCGGCUGCUCGGUUGGUUCAACACUGCAUCCAAUGGUCAAAACCGUGAAACUACAAACUAGGUACAGUCAUAGGAAGUCCCUUAUUCUCUAACAGUGGCAAAAAGAAUUUAAUGUACGCAAAAUUCGAAAUAAAAAAAAUCCACCAAAACUUGACAAAUUGAAGGAAAACAAAGAGUUUCGUUGGAUGAAUAUCUUUUGCCUUCCUUGUUUUACGUUAGGUUCUGUCAGACUUAUUGUGACCUGUGACAACAAAUGCAGUUGCAAAUGCAGUUUUCUGCCUUCAACCCUGCUCCCUAGACAAGUUGUAUUUUCUCCUGAUGAAAUCAAAUUUUUUUACAAAGGAAAGUAACGAUCGAACUUGUAAACUGAUGUGUUACUCCUAUCGUAUUUUUACCGAUUUUCAAAAAAGACAAUAAAGAGUUUCACCAUG